rnacentral:misc_RNA from 1 species
AACCUUAUGGACCUGCGGGCGUAUACCUGCGGAGGGAUCAUUAAUGGGUAGGCUUUGGCCAUAAUCCCUCACCAUUGUGAACGAAGCUUUAGUAGCAGUUGCUUCGGCGGGUGGUAAUACCAUGCCCCUUUCGGGGUACCCGCCGGAGGCAAGUAAAUUCUUGUUAUUUAUUGUUAUCUCUGAGUAAACUUUAAAUAAGUCAAAACUUUCAGCAAUGGAUCUCAGAUCGGAAGAGCACAC